UAUAGGAAACUCCCUCUAUCUUCUCACACUCUAACUAUUUGUUGCAAUCUGGGUUUCCAACACACUGUUUUUGCAUCCAGAGGCAUAAGCAUAGACAUAUUUUCAAAGAUUGAGAUAUAAUGAAUUUAAACCUACAGAGUUGUCUGGAUAACUAUUCAAUAUUAGAUUUACCCAAGUCAUGAGUUUAACGGGUCUGCCUCCAUCUCUGUGUUACCGUGCCAAACUACCACUGCUUUAAGAUUUCUAAAGUAUUAUAAUAAGAGUUUGAAAUUAAAUACUUGUUGUCUUGGCAGGCUCCAAAUGACAUCAGCUGAUUUUAUUCCCCAAGUGGCUAUUGCAUGCCUACUGCAAGUGGUGGACACUCUGCCACAUGUGGUGGAUGCAACAAUCAGUAAGGAGCUGAACAAGUAAACAGAUGGCUGUAGUACGGUGUGAUAAAGACAAUGCUGAAGGGGCUUUGAAAGCACAUAGAAAAGUAUUCAACCCUAAACAGAAGGCUGAAGGAGGACUUCCAGGAGGAAGGCUCCUUCACAACAGGGAGCAGAGAGAGAGUGGAGGAACCAGCCCAACAUUUGCUUGAGCCUACGGCAGGAAACCAUCCAGAAAGAGACAGUCUUUUGGAAUCAACUCUAAUGAAAUAGAACUCCUAAAUUGCAGGCAGCAAAAGAAACAGCCAGAAAGUUCAUCUAAACUUGAGUUCGCAAAUUCCAAGUGGCUCUGCAAGGCUACCAUGAAUUUACAGUUGGAGAGACUGAGAAUCAUCUGAGAUGGAGGAGAUUAACAUUGUGCAGAUUUCUCUCUGCAUGUCCCUACAGACUACAUUGAUCAUUCCGUGGUGCAACCCGCCCCCCAACACACACUCUUGUCCUUACUCUUUUGAAUAAAGGAUCCUAUCCAGCUGCA
rnacentral:lncRNA from 13 species